AUUAGUGAUUUUCUCCUAUAUAGAAUAGCAUGUUUUUAAAAUAAUUCUCUUUCUUAUGUGCCGUUUGGCUGCAUUCGGCUUCAGCCAAGCGCUUGCACUCGAUGACACGGAAUGUUGUUUACAUCUAAAAACGUGGCGACAUCAGCUGAGAUAUGCAGUGGAUUUAAAUGCAAUAACCAGACAUUCUUUAAAGAAAAUAGGGAUAAGAUGAGAGACAAGGCAUUGUUUAUCCCUAUUACGAGAAUAUGAGGACAUUAUCACAGAAAAUAACGGAAGACUGAGACGAUCUGCGCUAGCUCCCUAGAUCCAUCACUGCAGUGCAUUCAGCCCAGCAGUCAAGAGUUCCAGGCUUGAAGAAUAAAUAAAUACAAAAUGCACCCAUUUCUCCACAGGCUAUUCCUAAAGAAUUGGACCAAUGUAUUCAUUCAU